rnacentral:rRNA from 1 species
GAUGAACGCUGGCGGCGUGCCUAAUACAUGCAAGUCGGACGGAGUGUUAGCAAUAGCACUUAGUGGCGAACGGGUGAGUAACGCGUUGGUGACCUGCCCUAAAGAAGGGAACAACCUCGGGAAACUGAGGCUAAUACCCUAUGUGCUUCUUAAGAUUAGAUGCUUUUGAAGUAAAGGUUCUGUGGACGAAAGGCCACGGUGCCGCUUUAGGAGGGGCCUGCGUCCCAUCAGCUAGUUGGUAGGGUAAUGGCCUACCAAGGCGAUGACGGGUAGGGGACCUGAGAGGGUGACCCCCCACACUAGCACUGAAACACGGGCUAGACACCUACGGGUGGCAG